GUGCCAGCUGGCAAGAGUGUGUCUGACUCUAUUCUUUUGAAGCUGAAGACAGGAUUGAAUGCUUCUGAAGAAUCCAGGGAGUUCCCAUCUGACCUUGUGUACUCCUUUGCUACGGAGUCAAUAAAACGUCUGCUACAGCAGAUUGUCUUCUGGCUUCCUCCACCAUCACAAGGAUCCGAUUUCUGCCAAACUAUCAUCUCUGAUGGUUCUCUGCAGGAAACAAGUCAGCUUAUCCCAAACUCUUCUGCCACCUCCAUUAGUUCCACACAGGUUUACUGUGACACAAAGAGCCUUUUCACCAAUAUAAUGGUCAAUCAGGUCAUGGAUACCUGUUCUGUGGCCUCCAAUUCAUCAGAAGAAUUAUCAGAGUUGAUGAACAUAAUCAAUGGGUUGUCCCCAACUGAUGCUGGAACACUUGACUCUGACAGACCGGCUCUCAUGACCACUAGCCGUCAGUCUAGUGCCAAAUCAUUUCCUAAACCCUCUCUGUCUGGCAGCAGCACACACAAUGGUGGAACUGUGCAUAUUCAAGUUUUAGGAGAGGUGGAAUCCAAGAUGGACAACAAAGAUCUGGAGAUGUCUAGUGCCUCUGUGCAUCCAUCAACUACAUCAGCCAUGGACUCUGAUACACAUGCAUUAUUUGACUCCACUAGCAAUGACUACACCUCUUUGGUACUUUUACUGAUUGUUAGAUUGCUGUCAAUGAUCACCCCUAUCACAUUACUGGAAUCCUCCGACAUUGGUGAAACAUCAAGAGUUCUCACAAAGAGGAUUCUGUCUGAGUUCUGUGGCACCUCAGGCCCUGAACAAACUCAAGCCUACCCCCAGAAUCUGAAAAUCAAAGAGAUUUUCAAGGCUGUCUACAUGGGGCUUCUUCAAGAAUUCGGGUCAGAGAAGAUGCUCCAGGUUGCAAUGAAGUCAACGGAUUAUGCAUUUGACGAUGCCCUGGUCAAAUCAUUAACUAGGGAACUACUAGCUAAAUGCAAUGAGGCUAGCUCUUCACCUCCCUCCAUGACCCAGUUGUCAUCACACAAUGCACUUGGCAGUGACGAGGUAGGUAAUUCUGGGCUUCCAACAACUGGUAGAAAGGAAAAGAAGAGAGGAAGAUUCAGCGCUCUCUGUGGACUCAACCCAAAGUGUACAAAGAAGGUCAACAAGAAGAACCACUGCACUCCAACACCUUCCCAGAACCAGACCCCUGCCGUCAGUGAAACAGCAAUUGUCAAUGAUCAAGAAUCCUGCCGAACAGAGAGUGUAUGCUCCACCAAGAAGAAACCAAGGAAGCGUUCGCUCAUUUCCAGGAUGUUUUCAGCUAUAGGCAAAGCCUUGUCCAGUCCAGUUUUCUGUUCUCUCUGCUACUGCACACCACUCAUUCAUGUAUAAGUCCCAAAAUGGAUGUAACAAAUGCUGAUUGCCCCUUUAAGACUACAUAUUGGGCU